rnacentral:rRNA from 1 species
UACGUAGGGGGCUAGCGUUGUCCGGAAUCAUUGGGCGUAAGGCGCGUGUAGGCGGUCCGGUAAGUCCGCUGUGAAAGUCGGGGGCUCAACCCUCGGAUGCCGGUGGAUACUGUCGGGCUUGAGUACGGAAGAGGCGAGUGGAAUUCCUGGUGUAGCGGUGAAAUGCGCAGAUAUCAGGAGGAACACCGGUGGCGAAGGCGGGUCUCUGGGUCUUACCUGACGCUGAGGAACGAAAGCCAGGGGAGCGAACGGG